rnacentral:rRNA from 1 species
AAUCAACGCUGGCGGCGUGCCUAACACAUGCAAGUCGAACGCGAAAGGGGACUUCGGUUCCUGAGUAGAGUGGCGUCCGGGUGAGUAACACGUGGGUAAUCUGCCUUCGGGUGGGGAAUAACUCAGGGAAACUUGAGCUAAUACCGCAUAAUGCAGCGGCACCUAAUGGUGAUUAGUUGUUAAAGCGGGGGAUCGCAAGACCUCGCGCCUGAAGAGGAGCCUGCGGCAGAUAGCUAGUUGGUAAGGUAAUGGCUUACCAAGGCUUCGAUCUGUAGCUGGUCUGAGAGGACGGCCAGCCACACUGGCACUGACACACGGGCCAGACUCCUACGGGAGGCAGCAGUGGGGAAUUUUGGGCAAUGGGCGAAAGCCUGACCCAGCAACGCCGCGUGAGGGAGGAAAUCCUUCGGGA